GGGUUACAACGAGACCUUUGCGCCGGCCCUGCACCAGCCCUACCUGACCCUUGUGCCCCGGGGCCGCGUCUGCAGCACCUACAGGACACGUACCGCGGGGCCGUGCCGCCAGAGUGACCAGGGAUGUGCUGCAGACCAGCUCCAUCUGCUGCCAGGGCUGGAAGAAGAGGCACGUUGGGCGGCCAACACCUGCGAGGAGGCCCGUUGUGCCACAAGCCCUGUUCAGAACGCGGGCAUCUGUGGCCAGCCCCGACCAGUGCCACUGCCGCCCCGGCUGGGGGGCGGCGCUACUGCC